rnacentral:rRNA from 1 species
UGGGGAAUAUUGGGCAAUGGGCGGCAAGCCUGACCCAGCAACGCCGCGUGAAGGAAGAAGGCUUUCGGGUUGUAAACUUCUUUUCUCAGGGACGAAGAAAGUGACGGUACCUGAGGAAUAAGCCACGGCUAACUACGUGCC